rnacentral:rRNA from 1 species
UUUCCCUCAGGAUAGCUGGCACUCGCUUGAGCGAGUCUCAUCUGGUAAAGCGAAUGAUUAGAGGCCUUGGGGCCGAAACGACCUCAACCUAUUCUCAAACUUUAAAUGGGUGAGAUCUCUGGCUUGCUUGAACGUUGAAGCCGCGAGAUAAUUUCGAUUAUUUGGAUCAGAGUGCCAAGUGGGCCAAUUUUGGUAAGCAGAACUGGCGCUGUGGGA